CUGACCAAAGUUAACAACCAACAGCUCUGGGUACCAGAAUGUUAACAGCGCUGGUAACAGUUUUGGGCCAGUGGAAAGUAGCAUUGAGUUGGCCUAAAAUUGUUACCAACGCUGGCAAGUUUUUAAGGUACAGCACACGAGUAGCGUAACGGCGAAUUUCGUAACUAAAACGCGUCUUGUUCAGGAUGACAUCUGGACAUUUUCCACCGCGGAAAAUGUAUAAAAUUUAGUUUUUUGCGGUAUCUUAGUGGAAAACUUUUCUUCUGAAAGGAUGAAUCACAUGAACCUGUGGGCCUGAAAGCGGAUUUGGGAAAGUCUAGCACGGAGAAAAUUCCGACAGAUCAUCCCAAAGGCAAGAGACAAGAGGCAAGGAGGCAAGAGACAAGACAGCAACAGACAGCUUGAGAAUAAGUGCAACAAUUCCUGCCUCAUUCGGUAUUUUUAAGAUAUUGUGAUUUUCUUUAUUUUUUUUAUAUGAAAUAAAAUGUAAUUUAAUUAAAAAAA